UAAAAAAUUUGGCGGUAUUUUAGUCUAUUCAGAGGAACCUGUUUUGUAAUCGAUAUUCCACGAUGGACCUUACUUAAAUUUGUAUCAGUUUAUAUACCGUCGUUAUUAAAAUAUUUUAUAAGAAAGAUAAUUUUUAUAAUUUUUAUUAAAAAAAUAUAUCAGAUCAAGGUGUAGCUUAUAUUUAAGUAUAAAUGGGUUACAAUAAAAUUAUUUAAAUGGAUAUAAAUUUGCAAUGUUUAUUGAAAGUGGAUUUGAUAGUAAAAUUAUAAAGAUUAUUAAUUUGAUUUUAGCUCUAAAAUAUGUACACAUCGCCCGUCACUCUUAUUAUUAAGGUAAGAUAAGUCGUAACAUAGUAGAUGUACUGGAAAGUGCAUCUAGAAUGCAAUUUAAAGCUUAUAUAGUAAAGUAUUUCAUUUACAUUGAAAAGAUUUUUGUGCAAAUCAAUUUAAAUUGAUUAGUUUUUAUUUAUUAAUUUUUUUUUUUGUUAAAAUUUUAUAUUAAAAAUAAUUAUAAAUAUUAAUGUUUUAGUAUAUUUUAUAGAAAAAAUAUUUUUUAUGAUAGAUUAUUAGUAUUGUGAAAGAAAAUUGAAAUAUU
rnacentral:rRNA from 1 species